UACGUAGGGUGCAAGCGUUAAUCGGAAUUACUGGGUGUAAAGCGUGCGCAGGCGGUUUUGUAAGUCUGUCGUGAAAGCCCCGGGCUCAACAUGGGAAUUGCGAUGGAGACUGCAAGGCUUGAAUCUGGCAGAGGGGGGUAGAAUUCCACGUGUAGCAGUGAAAUGCGUAGAGAUGUGGAGGAACACCGAUGGCGAAGGCAGCCCCCUGGGUCAAGAUUGACGCUCAUGCACGAAAGCGUGGGGAGCAAACAGG
rnacentral:rRNA from 1 species